UACGGGGGGAGCAAGCGUUGUUCGGAUUUACUGGGCGUAAAGGGCGGGUAGGCGGCCACUGCAAGUCGGUUGGGAAAUCUCCGGGCUUAACCCGGAAAGGUCAAUCGAUACUGCAGGGCUAGAGUGCAGAAGGGGCAACUGGAAUUCUCGGUGUAGCGGUGAAAUGCGUAGAUAUCGAGAGGAACACCUGCGGCGAAGGCGGGUUGCUGGGCUGACACUGACGCUGAACUGCGAAAGCUAGGGGAGCGAACGGG
rnacentral:rRNA from 1 species